UACGUAGGGUGCAAGCGUUGUCCGGAAUUAUUGGGCGUAAAGAGCUCGUAGGCGGUUUGUCGCGUCUGCUGUGAAAUCCCGAGGCUCAACCUCGGGCCUGCAGUGGGUACGGGCAGACUGGAGUGCGGUAGGGGAGAAUGGAAUUCCUGGUGUAGCGGUGGAAUGCGCAGAUAUCAGGAGGAACACCGAUGGCGAAGGCAGUUCUCUGGGGCCGUAACUGACGCUGAGGAGCGAAAGCGUGGGGAGCGAACAGG
rnacentral:rRNA from 1 species